CUCCCUUGAUCAGAAGUACACAAAAACUGGCUCCCAGCAUGGGAACAGAAUCUGGGACCUUUUUGUUCCAAAGCACAGACCUCUGCCAUUUGAACUAAAGGGGUGACCGCUUAGCAGGUGGUGCUUGUGUAUCAUUUUCCAUAUGUUACUCUGGCAGUAGACAGUGCGGACACUGAUCAAUUCAGCAAAGGGAGAAGUGCAAAAUUUGGGAUUUAUUACUAGAAUCAGAAGCCUGAGGAAACAAAACAGACCGGCAAUGAGAAUUCAGUGUGGUGGUUUGUAUUUCACAUACAGUUAAUGUGUCACAAUGAGGAAUUUUUUCAGCGAGCGUAAGAUC